rnacentral:lncRNA from 1 species
ACGUGAUAUAAAAGGCUAUUUUCUUUUUUUUUCCCCUUAUAUUCAUUUUUUUUCUUUUCUUCUUUUUUUCAGCACAUUAGCAAGAAUUUAAUGUAAAGAGCAGACAAUCUAUGGUCUCAGUUCAACAGAGGAAGUACUUCCAGAGCUUCAAUUACAUUAGAAUUCCCCUUGACUUGUAAACGGACUAUCAGAGACAAUGGAAGAAGGAAAUCAGUAGCAGGUCUGGAAACUUAAUCCAGUUUCCAUACAUCAUGCUGUUGACAAGACUAUAAAUGCUUAAAGGAUGCCUUAAUUUGGCAUCAACUCUAAAGUCACACCCACAACUUUCUUUGUACUCUGCAGAAUGGACUCCUUCAAGAUAUCCCAUAUUUGGAACAUAACGUGGAAAGUAGAGCCAAUUGCCAGAGUUUGAGGUCGUACAUCUCCAGUUUCCAUCCUUAGUACCUCUGAAAAAGCCACAUCUGCUACAGUCUGCUGUGAAUCAGCUGCAUAACUAUAUUCAGCAAAAGGUAAAAUGUACACCUGUUAUUAUCUAUUUUCCCUAACUGUGCUGUACUUAGUGAUGCUUUACUAUCCUCCACUGUCAGUUUUCUAAGAAUUGUAUUCUACCAGGGCUGCUUAAUGCAUAUCUAAAAUAAAUUAGAACAAUGUUGUUCUCCA